GACGAACGCUGGCGGCGUGCUUAACACAUGCAAGUCGAACGGAAAGGCCCUGCUUUUGUGGGGUGCUCGAGUGGCGAACGGGUGAGUAACACGUGAGUAACCUGCCCUUGACUUUGGGAUAACUUCAGGAAACUGGGGCUAAUACCGGAUAGGAGCUCCUGCUGCAUGGUGGGGGUUGGAAAGUCUCGGCGGUUGGGGAUGGACUCGCGGCUUAUCAGCUGUUGGUGGGGUAGGGGCUUACCAAGGCUUUGACGGGUAGCCGGCCUGAGAGGGUGACCGGCCACAUUGGGACUGAGAUACGGCCCAGACUCCUACGGGAGGCAGCAGUGGGGAAUAUUGCACAAUGGGCGGAAGCCUGAUGCAGCAACGCCGCGUGCGGGAUGACGGCCUUCGGGUUGUAAACCGCUUUCGCCUGUGACGAAGCGUGAGUGACGGUAAUGGGUAAAGAAGCACCGGCUAACUACGUG
rnacentral:rRNA from 1 species